UUGGAGGGCAAGUCUGGUGCCAGCAGCCGCGGUAAUUCCAGCUCCAAUAGCGUAUAUUAAAGUUGUUGCAGUUAAAAAGCUCGUAGUUGAAUUUCGGGAUCAGCAAGUUGGUCGUGCCUCUGGUACGUACUGGCUUUACUGGUUCCUCCUUCUUGAAGAACUGUAACGUCAUUAAUUUUGUGUUGCAGGGAAUCAGGACUGUUACUUUGAAAAAAUUAGAGUGUUUAAAGCAAGCUAACGCUUGAAUACAUUAGCAUGGAAUAGUGAAAUAGGACGUUUGAUCCUAUUUUGUUGGUUUCUAGGAUUGACGUAAUGAUUAAUAGGGAUAGUUGAGGGCAUUAGUAUUCGAUUGUCAGAGGUGAAAUUCUUGGAUUUAUUGAAGACUAACUACUGCGAAAGCAUUUGCCAAGGAUGUUUUCAUUAAUCAAGAACGAAAGUUAGGGGAUCGAAGACGAUCAGAUACCGUCGUAGUCUUAACCAUAAACUAUGCCGACUAGGGAUCGGAUGAUGUUAAUUUUUUAAUGACUCAUUCGGCGCCUUACGGGAAAC
rnacentral:rRNA from 1 species